rnacentral:rRNA from 1 species
UACGGAAGGGGCAAGCGUUGUUCGGAAUCAUUGGGCGUAAAGGGCGCGUAGGCGGUCUCGUGUGUCUGCUGUGAAAGCACACGGCUUAACUGUGUGAAGUCGGUGGAAACUGCGAGACUUGAGGCUGGGAGAGGUUGGUGGAAUUCCCUGUGUAGCGGUGAAAUGCGUAGAUAUAGGGGAGAACACUCGUGGCGAAGGCGGCCAGCUGGACCGAGCCCUGGAC